UACGACUACAUAUCAGGCAUAUCAAUAAGCGGAGGAAAAGAAACUAACAAGGAUUCCCCUAGUAACGGCGAGUGAAGCGGGAAGAGCUCAAAUUUGAAAUCUUCAAGGGUUCUACCUUUACGAAUUGUAGUUUAAAGAAGUGUUUUCUGUUAGAUGAGUUAGGCUAAAAGUUCCUUGGAAUAGGGACAUCAUAGAGGGUGAGAAUCCCGUAUUUGACGUUAUUCAUUCUAGCUGUGUGAUACACUUUCAAAGAGUCGGAUUGUUUGGGAAUGCAGUCCAAGAUGGGUGGUAAAUUUCAUCUAAAGCUAAAUAUUGGCGAGAGACCGAUAGCGUACAAGUACCGUGAGGGAAAGAUGAAAAGAACUUUGAAAAGAGAGUUAAACAGUACGUGAAAUUGUCAAAAGGGAAGCGUUUGACACCAGUGUUGUUUUCUCGAAAAUCAAUUAAACGAAUGGCUUGAUUUUGUGUUGUAUUGACCUUAUCAGCUUCCUUCACUUUUUUCGAGUCUUUCUUAAUGCACUUUUCGGUUAACAAGUCAACAUCAAUUUCUUUUGUUGUAAAAGAGUAUUCGGAAGGUGGCUUUCUUUUCGGAGAAAGUGUUUAUAGCCCUAUACUUCUACAAUCGGAGAGAUUGAGGUCUGCAGCGUAGAUCCUUCGGGGUUAGAUACACUUUGUGCUAAGUUGUAGCUUUUCAUAGACAACUUGUUGACUAUGUUUAGUCAUGCGGCUUACUCGCUUAGUGCUAUUUUACCUACGCUUAGGAUGUUGAGUAGCGACAUACGCAC
rnacentral:rRNA from 1 species